AAACCGCUCUGCCCCAGUUCAUUUGACAACAAGAGAAUUUCUGUCCCCAGUCAAUUUGACAACAGAUUUGCUGGCCCCAGUUCAUUUGACAACAGGAUAUUUGCUGGCCCCAGUUCAUUUGACAACAACAGAUUUGCUGGCCCCAGUUCAUUUGACAACAACAUAUUUCCUGGUCCCAGUCAAUUUGACAACAACAGAUUUGCUGGCCCCAGUCAAUUUGACAACAACAGAUUUUCUGGCCCCAGUCAAUUUGAAAACAAGAGAAUUUCUGGUCCCAGUUCAUUUGACAACAACAGAUUUCCUGGUCCCAGUCAAUUUGACAACAACAGAUUUCCUGGUCCCAGUCAAUUUGACAACAACAGAUUUGCUGGCCCCAGUCAAUUUGACAACAACAGAUUUGCUGGUCCCAGUCAAUUUGACAACAGAUUUGCUGGCCCCAGUCAAUUUGACAACAGAUUUGCUGGUCCCAGUCAAUUUGACAACAACAGAUUUGCUGGUCCCAGUCAAUUUGACAACAGAUUUGCUGGUCCCAGUCAAUUUGACAACAACAGAUUUGCUGGCCCCAGUCAAUUUGACAACAACAGAUUUGCUGGUCCCAGUCAAUUUGACAACAGAUUUCCUGGUCCCAGUCAAUUUGACAACAACAGAUUUGCUGGCCCCAGUCAAUUUGACAACAACAGAUUUUCUGGCCCCAGUCAAUUUGAAAACAAGAGAAUUUCUGGUCCCAGUCAAUUUGACAACAGAUUUGCUGGUCCCAGUCAAUUUGACAACAACAGAUUUGCUGGUCCCAGUCAAUUUGACAACAUAUUUGCUGGUCCCAGUCAAUUUGACAACAACAGAUUUGCUGGUCCCAGUCAAUUUGACAACAACAGAUUUGCUGGUCCCAGUCAAUUUGACAACAUAUUUGCUGGUCCCAGUCAAUUUGACAACAACAGAUUUGCUGGUCCCAGUCAAUUUGACAACAUAUUUGCUGGCCCCAGUCAAUUUGACAACAGAUUUGCUGGUCCCAGUCAAUUUGACAACAGAUUUGCUGGUCCCAGUCAAUUUGACAACAGAUUUGCUGGCCCCAGUCAAUUUGACAACAACAGAUUUGCUGGUCCCAGUCAAUUUGACAACAACAGAUUUGCUGGCCCCAGUCAAUUUGACAACAACAGAUUUGCUGGUCCCAGUCAAUUUGACAACAACAGAUUUGCUGGCCCCAGUCAAUUUGACAACAACAUAUUUGCUGGUCCCAGUCAAUUUGACAACAACAGAUUUGCUGGUCCCAGUCAAUUUGACAACAACAGAUUUGCUGGUCCCAGUCAAUUUGACAACAUAUUUGCUGGUCCCAGUCAAUUUGACAACAACAGAUUUGCUGGUCCCAGUCAAUUUGACAACAUAUUUGCUGGCCCCAGUCAAUUUGACAACAGAUUUGCUGGUCCCAGUCAAUUUGACAACAGAUUUGCUGGCCCCAGUCAAUUUGACAACAGAUUUGCUGGUCCCAGUCAAUUUGACAACAGAUUUGCUGGUCCCAGUCAAUUUGACAACAGAUUUGCUGGUCCCAGUCAAUUUGACAACAGAUUUGCUGGCCCCAGUCAAUUUGACAACAACAGAUUUGCUGGUCCCAGUCAAUUUGACAACAACAGGUUUGCUGGUCCCAGUCAAUUUGACAACAACAGAUUUGCUGGUCCCAGUCAAUUUGACAACAGAUUUGCUGGCCCCAGUCAAUUUGACAACAGAUUUGCUGGCCCCAGUCAAUUUGACAACAGAUUUGCUGGUCCCAGUCAAUUUGACAACAACAGAUUUGCUGGCCCCAGUCAAUUUGACAACAGAUUUGCUGGUCCCAGUCAAUUUGACAACAGAUUUGCUGGUCCCAGUCAAUUUGACAACAACAGAUUUGCUGGCCCCAGUCAAUUUGACAACAUAUUUGCUGGUCCCAGUCAAUUUGACAACAGAUUUGCUGGUCCCAGUCAAUUUGACAACAGAUUUGCUGGUCCCAGUCAAUUUGACAACAGAUUUGCUGGCCCCAGUCAAUUUGACAAAAAGACGUGGUCUGUUGUUGAAUUGUUACCUUUGAAGGUACAGUCAACCUUUAAAGUUAUGAACAGUAUCUUACUUCCCAAAUGUUCUAACAUAAGAAGGUGCUAUCCUAAAGUGCUAUUAUCCAUUUCUGAGGACGGUAGACUGCUUCUAUCCAGCCCAUGUUGUAUAACCUAA
ensembl:lncRNA